GAUAAACGCUAGCGGCAGGCUUAACACGUGCAAGUCGAGGGGCAGCAUAGAUUGUAGCAAUACAAUUGGUGGCGACCGGCGCACGGGUGCGUAACGCGUAUGCAACCUACCCGUCACAGGGGGAUAAUCCGGAGAAAUCUGGUCUAAUACCCCAUAACAUAUGGAUCGGCAUCGGUUCAUGUUGAAAUUUUCGGAGGUGACGGAUGGGCAUGCGUAGCAUUAGCUUGUUGGUGAGGUAACGGCUCACCAAGGCGACGACGCUUAGGGGGACUGAGAGGUUUUCCCCCCACACUGGUACUGAGACACGGACCAGACUCCUACGGGAGGCAGCAGUGAGGAAUAUUGGUCAAUGGGCGCAAGCCUGAACCAGCCAUGCCGCGUGCAGGAUGACGGCUCUUUGAGUUGUAAACUGCUUUUGUACGAGGGUAAAGUGGGUUACGUGUAACCUUUUGAAAGUAUCGUACGAAUAAGGAUCGGCUAACUCCGUGCCAGCCGCCGCCGUAA
rnacentral:rRNA from 1 species